rnacentral:lncRNA from 1 species
AAGAUUUGAUUUAGGAUUUAGGUUUUGUUUAGGAUUUUAUUUAAGAUUUAGAAUUUUUCUAGGAUUUGGUUUAAGAUUUCAGAUUUGUUUAGAAUUUGGUUUAGAAUUUAGGAUUUGUCAAGGAUUUGAUUUAGAAUUUAAGAUUUGUUUAGAAUUUGGAUUAGAAUUUAGGAUUUGGUUUGGGUUUUGGAAUUUUUCUAGGAUUUGGUUUAGGAUUUAGAGUUUGUCUAGGAUUUGAUUUACGAUUUAGGAUUUAUUUAAGAUUUGAUUUAGGAUUUAGAAUUUUCUUAGGAUUUAGGAUUUGGCCUAGGAUUUUAUUGAAGUCCAUUAGAGUUUCAAGUAGAAUUAAAUUAGGAAUUAAUUGAGAUUCAUUUAAGAUAUAUUUGUGAUUAUUUUAAUAUUCCUUUAGGAUUUCUUAAGGAUUUUUUUAAGUUUUAUUGUAGAUUUUUUUUGAACUUCUUUAAGAUUUCUUAUUGUUUCUUUUGUAAUUUCUUUAAGGUUUCUUUUGAAUUUGAUUAAAGCUUGCUUAGCAUUGUUAAGAAUUUAAUUAGAGUUAUUUAAUAUUUUAUUAGAAUUAAGAUUUUUUUGUUGUAAUUUCUAUUCUAUCUUUGACAAUUAGGUCCUUGGUGCAUUCUUGAGCAAGAUUUCACAUAUUACGACAACAUUAAAAUAGAAAAGUAUAUAUUUAACACAACUCAAGUUGAAUUCUUAAGAUGCAUUGUAUUAAAUGAUGAUCUUGUGAUGGAUCCUAAAAAAAUUUAAAUUAUUAUAGAAAAAAAUCUAAAAAAAAAAUCUAAUA